CCCCAGCUCCUCAUUCUUAUCUCCAGGACUUAACCUUGGGGAAAGAGUGGUUAGCACUGUGGUCCUCGGAAAGCAGGACACUGUUGGACCUAGCCCUUGAAACAGUUGGCACUACUGAACGGGAAAAAGCAGACAUAGAAAAAACUCCAGGAUUGCUGCAAUGAGUUGGGAUUUCUGGACAAGCUCAAGCCUCUGAAACUCAUGGUGGAUGUCUUCUGAGGAGCCUGACCUUUCUUCAAGGACACUUAGUACCACUGCUGUCCUUGGGUUCUGCCACUGGGACCAGGACCCCCAUGAAGUCUUGGGCCAGGAGGGAGGGAGUGGAUGGAAGAAGCUAACCCAGAGGCAGUGUUGUUGUCAUGGAAAGAGCUCAGGCUCUGGAGUCUUAAUUGCAGGAUGUGCCACGUGGGGCACGUGUCCCGAACCCUCCGAGCCUACGUCUAAAAGCACGAAAUGGGUAAUUGCGUUACUAGGAGACUUGUGAAGCUACAAGGAAGGGACUAGGCUUUACCUCUGUCUCCUAGGGUCUAGGGCAAUGUCAGCUACAGGGAGCAUGGCCUGCAAAAAGAGUGGCAUAACUGGUAAAACCUCUCUACUGUCUGGCCAGGUGGGCAAAAUAAGGUCAUAUACCAGGAGCUGAACUUGGGACCUGGGGCUAAGAGGCCGGGGCCUUGAGCCUGGCUCUUCUUUGACCUGAUGGCUGAACUCAAGUAUUUCAAUUCAGCCGUUUGUUCAUUCUACACCUUGAUUUUUACAUCUGCCAAGUGCUGGAUGCUCUGCUAGGCUUCGUAUCAAGUGUUCAGGUCAUCCUAAAAAGAUGUAAAAUUUUGUUGAAAAGUGCAAAAUAAAAUUUGAACAGAUAAAGAGCUAAAUCAUAUCCUUGUAUGAGAUGAAUUGACAUUGUAGAAAUGUCAUCUGUUCCCAAACCCAUCUAAAUUCAUCUUUGUUGGAAUGAAGAUUGACUUAAUAUUUGCCGCCCAAAAUAAAGGCUUGAAGUCAACCAAGGAAAUUUUGAAAAACAGGAACUGUGAAGAGGAUUGUUCUCACCGAGUAUUGCAACUCAAGUAUGUCUCCAACUAAUAAACAGUCUAGCUUUAGUGGAGGAAUAUUUAGGUGGUCAUUGUGACAGAAGAGAAAACACAUGGAUAGAGUCAAAGAUAGUGUAAGAUAUAAUAAUAACAAUUUAUUGAAUCAUGAAG